ACCACCUCAGACCGAACGAGAAAGCUAUCGGCUUCAGCUGCUCGGCCGCAGCGAGGUCGGCCAUACCGCCGAUUCUCUCCGUCCCUCCCUUUACCUUGCAUUCGUUAGCUCUGCAGUUUCAUUGCUCGAGACCGUAUUCGGGUCCCGUUGCUUGCUUCGAAACGGUGUCGACUCUCGAUGCUGCGGAUGCUGUAUCCAUCUAUACAAGUAUACCCUUGAUUUCUUCGCUGCUUUUCACGACUUGGGUUCGGAUCUUGCUUCGUUUUCCCCCUUUUUCUUGCGGGUUUCGAUUGUGGGUCUCUUUCUUUUCUCGCUUUUCUUUCCGUUUUCGAUGAGAAAAUGCCAUUUUUGAUUUCGGGGAUUCGAGCGUGAUUGCGGGCAUUAUAUAGAUUUAAGGGCAGCCACUGUAUGGUUUUGCCUCCGUGAUGAAGUCGCGAUACUUUCGUUCUUCCGACAUGUUCCGUGAGGAAAAGUUUUGGAGACCUGAAAAGUUUUACAUCUAAUCUGUGUAUGUUUUGCUUUCUGCAAGUAUAGGACGCAAGAAAGCUAUAAUUUUUGUUUACCUUGGAUCUGUUUUGUGGGUUUUAAGGGGCGUGAUCUGCUCAUUUAAACUUUAAGACAGUAGGUGUAGCGCCUCUGAGGAUGAACAUCUGAAUACUUUCGUUCUUCCGAAAUGCAUCAUGUGGAAGAAUUAUGGAGACCUGAACUGAAGAGGCGUGAACCAUCUGUCUAUGUUCUUGAUAAGGGCUUUACUUGAUUGCUUCACUUUGGUUUUCUUUCCUUUCUUUUGGCAUUGCAAAUUUCUGUUGUUUUGGUGAGAGGUAAAUAGUUCCCAAAACGGGAGUUAUAGGCCUCGUGUCUUGGUUUUUUUUUUUUUUUUAAUGCCUUAUUUCUAGAUGUGGUCUGGUGGCUACAUUGUUCAGGCUGUCAUUUCAAAUUGUUGCUCCUCGACUUUCAAGAUUCGAGUGGCCCAAUUUGCUCAGCUGAGCGCUUUAUUCCCUAGCAAUUUAGGACGUAACAAUCAAUGCCUCUUGUGAUGAAUGUAGAAAUACUUUCGUUCUUCCGAGAUGUUUCAUGCGGAAAUAUAUUGGAGACCUGAACUGAAGAGGCAUAUUGAAUCUUAUUCUUCUUUUCCUCCUCCUCUGUGGUGUUACUCUCAUUCACAACACUUCUUUUCGAUUCUUUUUUUGCGAGUCUGAAUUGAGGGCUCCAUUUUACCUAAGUUUGUACGUGCUUGAUUGCUUGACUUAUUUGCUCUUCGGUCUGUAGUCAUGAGGAUUUGAGAAUAUUGCUUCAUAUUUUGCUGAAGUGAAGUUUGAGCAGCUAACCCCAACCGGAACCCUUAGCCUCCACCUUCUGCAAAAGAAAAGAAAAACUAGUAACACUAGAGAAAGGCAACAUAAGGCUUCCCUGGUUUAUGCCUCUGAUGAUGAUUCUGACUGAACUUUCGUUCUUCCGAGAUGUUUCAUGCGGAAAAUAUCUGGAGACCUGAACUGAAGAGUCAGGAUUUGUGCAGCAGCCAAAUUCCACGAGUAUUCUCUGGUCAACUGUGAAUUGUUUGUUUUGGUUUUGUAAUUAGCUUCUAGUUCAGCUCGGUCACUUGCAACUUUCUCCCAAAUUCAAUCUAGAGGACGCUGUAUAAUUAACCCAGUUAUUCCCACUGUUUUCUUUUCUACCCCCAUCACCGAUAAGUCAUCUGAUUGGGCUUAAGAAUUACACAAAUCGCAAUUUGAAUUUGAAGCGAUUCUUGAAUGACUGAGAUAUACACGGAUGUUCCAACAAUACAGAAUCACAGUAGUCAAUGUUUCUUGCCA